GGGAAAUGCAAAUCAAUAAGAUACCUCCUUACACCUGCUAGAAUGGCUAUUAUCAGAAAAGAAAGGGGAAUAUUUGCACAUUAUUGAUGGGAAUGUAAAUUAGUAAAACCAUGGAGAGUUUUCAAAGAAAAGCAGCAUAUGAUCCAGGAACACACUACAGGAUGUGUACCCAAAAGAAAAUGAAGUCAGUACAUCAAACUAGAUCUGCACUCUCGUGUUCACUGCAGCAUUAUUCACAAUAGCCAAGAUAUGAACUCACCCUGAGGGCCCUUCAAUAGAUGGAUUUUCUAAAAUACGGUGUACAUAGACACACAUUGGAAUAGUUUUCAGCCUUAAAAAAGAAGGCAAUCCUGUCAUUUGGGACAACAUGGAUAAACCUGUACAUGACAUCAAAUAAACAAGGCACUGAAAGACAAAUACCUCAUGAUCUCAGAUGUGGAAUUCAAAAAAGGAUGAAUCUGCAAAAGCAGAGAGUAUAGUUGUUUCCAGGAGUGGGGAUGGGGUGUUAGGGAGAUGUUGGUCAGUGGCUACAAGAUUUCAGUUAGACAAGAGAUCUGUUUUUUAACAUGGUAACUUUAGUUAAUAACAAUAUAUUGUACUCUUGAGAAUUGCUAAGAAAUUUUUAAGUGUUCUCACCACACAUGUGCACACACACACACGUUAGUAUAUAUAUUAAUUAGCUCAACUUAGCCAUUCUAUACUAAAUAUGUAUUUCAAAAUAUAUUGUACACAAUAUACCAAUUUUUGUCAAUUAAAAAUAACCAUAAAACUGAUUUAA
rnacentral:lncRNA from 1 species